GUGGGGGCAUCAAGGUGUUGGAACGCUGGUCUGGUCUCAGCUGGUCGGGUCUGUCGUGGCUCUAUUCUGGCCCGCCCGCUCCAAGCCGGGAGUUGAGCCGUGUGGAUUGGGCGAAGGCUCAGGCUUCACGAUUCCUAGAGCGGAGGGCACCGCGUAAGGCUGGCUUCACAGAGCAACGAUCACCUCCCGCCCUCGGCAGUGGAAGGAUAACGGGUCGGUGCCACCCGGAUCCAUCAUGGCCCGCUGGACCGUUCCAAUUGAACCAACGCUUUUCAAAUUAGUGCAAAGAAGGCCUACUGACGUUCCGAUUAGAAGAUGCGACUAUGGGACAGAGGUUCAGGGCCGAAGGGGUAGAGGAAGACCUAGGAAAACUUUGGAAGAGACUCUAAGAAAAGACUUAGAGUACUUAGAUCUAACGAAGGACAUGACACAGGAUCGAGCACAAUGGCGUUCUAAGAUUUAUAUAGCCGAUCCCACUCAGUGACUUGGAUUUUCCAAGUCUCCAACCGAGAAGUUUUCCUCACUCGGGAAAUUAAGGGAACACUACCCCAACCUACAUGCUCCACUCAGAAAGCUUCAACAUACAAGCUUUAACAAAAGAAAAUUCAAAGAACUUAGCGAAGAAGGCUUUGGUGUAUUUAACACAAUACGUUGAAAUGAAGGAAAGCUUAUUUAUUGAUAUCCCCGAUAAGCUACAAAUAUGUACAUAUACAUGAGUCAAAAUAAGCACACAAGAGGGAGCCUUCACAAAGGUUGCUUAGGAGAAGUCUCAGCAGUCGGUAGAGCCCCAGAAAGAGAAGGCACUGGAGGGGGAUCAUUUGGAGCCUCAGUACUGGACAGAACCCUAGAAGGAGGAGGCAUCAGAGGUUGAUCAUUUGGAGCUUCAUUACGCGGUACAGCCCCAGAAGACGAAGGCAAUAAAUGCCUUUGGAACAAACCCACAAAUCUCUGAUGAUCAAGUAAAACCUGACCAUCAGUUUCCUUCAUCUGGUCAAGCUUCCUCUUCAUGUUUGUAGCAUAGUCAUGUGCGAGCCGGUGCAACUGUUUAUUCUCAUGCUUGAGCCCUCUAAUCUCCUGUUUGAGACUCAUCACUUCAGCCGACAAUGAUUCAACUUGGCGGGUUCGAGCAAAUAGGCGUUGGGCCAUAUUAGACACAGAACCUGCACACUGAACACUGAGAGCCAGCGAAUCCUUAACAGCUAACUCAUCAGACCGUUUGGAAAGUAGUCUGUUAUCUUUGGGAGUGAGAAGGUUCCUGGCCACCACCGCAGCGGUCAUAUCAUUCUUCAUCACGGAAUCCCCAACGGUAAGAGGACCAGUAGGGGAGACGAAGGAUGGGCGCCAUAUGUUGUCUGGAGAAGGCGGGGCUGCCUCUUCAACAAGGUUCAAGUCAAAACGACGGUCGGAGGGGCCAGACAUUUUCAAAGGUGUUGAAGAGAGAAGAGGUCGGACAAAUCAAGAUCUUAGAAGUGCAAGAAUGAAGCUUCUACUGGUGGAGAUUCAAGUGUGCUUUGGAACUUAAUGACAGCCCCUAUAAAAAUCUGCACUCGACGAAGCUUCAGAAAUCGAAGAGGCGCCUGCUCAGAAAUCGAAGAGGCGUUUGCUUUCUCAAAAGCUGGGCUGCUUAGAGAUCACGAGGGUUGAUCUCAGAAAUCGAAGAGGCGUUUGCUUUCUCAAAAGUUGGGCUGCUCAAAGACCACGAAGGCCGAUCUCAAAAAUCGAAGAGGCGCUCGCUUUCUCAAAAGCUGGGCUCCCCAGAGACCACGAGGGCCGAUCUCAGAAAUCGAAGAGGCACCUACUUUUCCAGCCUUUUCCAGCCUUGUCAGCACCUGUCACACGCACACUCAGUUUUGCGGAAAUUAUGGGCAUUCUGUCAAAGACUUCUGGGGAAGUAGAAAACACAUGAAUCUUACUGUUCAAUCACCCACUUCUCACACGCAACAAUAGCUCAUGGGUACCACAGAUAACUUUGCCAAAGUUCUCUGCCAAAGUUGAGCACGUGAAGCUUGCAGCUCCCACUACAUCGCUCUGACCAAGAAGGGUAAAAGAAUAGCAAAAGAAACAGCACUAACAAAGUUUAGACCCAUAAAUUUUGAAGGUCUAGCUACCAUAUUAUUACCCACAAGGGUAAAGGAACAGUACCACUGCUGGAUAAUUGGAAAGUCCCUGUGUGUCAACCUCUGUGCUUCGUGGCAAGGUAGACUAGCAAACAUGCCCAACCUUUACUCACAUUCGAGAAAACACUCCCAAUAAGAUUGCUUGCUCCAAAAUCGAAGAGGCACCGUCCUCCGAAUCUCGAGAGCCAGACUCCCAACAUGACUACUUUCUUAAAAAAUCGAAGAGAGGGUAAAGGAACAGUACCAUUGCUGGAUAAUUGGAAAGUCCCUGUGUGUCAACCUCUGUGCUUCGUGGCAAGGUAGACUAGCAAACAUGCCAAACCUUUACUCACAUUCGAGAAAACACUCCCAACAAGAUUGCUUGCUCCAAAAUCGAAGAGGCACCGCCCUCCGAAUCUCGAGAGCCAGACUCCCAACAUGAUUACUUUCUCAAAAAUCGAAGAGACACUGCUCCCCGAAUCUCGAGAGCCAGACCCCCAGCAUGAUUGCUUUCUCAAAAAUCGAUGAGGCAUCGUUCUCCGAAUCAAUCGAAGAGGCGCUCGCUUUCUCAAAAGCUGGGCUGCUCAGAGACCACGAGGGCCGAUCUCAGAAAUCGAAGAGGCACCUACUUUUCUAGCCUUGUCAGCACCUGUCACACGCACACUCAGCUUUGCAGAAAUUAUGGGCAUUCUGUCGAAGACUUCUGGUGAAGUAGAAAACACAUGAAUCUUACUGUUCAAUCACCCACUUCUCACACGCAACAAUAGCUCAUGGGUACCACAGAUAACUUUGCCAAAGUUCUCUGCCAAAGUUGAGCACGUGAAGCUUGCAGCUCCCACUACAUCGCUCUGACCAAGAAAGGUAAAAGAAUAGCAAAGAAACAGCACUAACAAAAGUUUAGACACAUAAAUUUUGAAGGUCUAGCUACCAUAUUAUUACCCACAACUGUAAAGGAACAGUACCACUGCUGGAUAAUUGGAAAGUCCCUGUGUGUCAACCUCUGUGCUUCGUGGCAAGGUAGACUAGCAAACAUGCCCAACCUUUACUCACAUUCGAGAAAACACUCCCAAUAAGAUUGCUUGCUCCAAAAUCGAAGAGGCACCGUCCUCCGAAUCUCGAGAGCCAGACUCCCAACAUGACUACUUUCUCAAAAUCGAAGAGAGGGUAAGGGAACAGUACCAUUGCUGGAUAAUUGGAAAGUCCCUGUGUGUCAACCUUUGUGCUUCGUGGCAAGGUAGACUAGCAAACAUGCCCAACCUUUACUCACAUUCGAGACAACACUCCCAACAAGAUUGCUUGCUCCAAAAUCGAAGAGGCACCGCCCUCCGAAUCUCGAGAGCCAGACUCCCAACAUGAUUACUUCCUCAAAAAAUCGAAGAGACACUGCUCUCCGAAUCUCGAGAGUCAUACCCCCAGCAUGAUUGCUUUCUCAAAAAUCGAAGAGGCAUCGUUCUCCGAAUCUCGAGAGCCAGAUACCACAGACCACUUUUUCAAAGUGCUCUGACAGAGUUUAAAACAUGUGAAACUGGCAGCUCCCACUACCGUGCUAUGACCAAGCAGGGUAAAGGAAUAGCAUUACUACUUGUUGUUAGGGAGACUCCUAUAUAUGUCGACCUCCAUCCCCAACGGACAGGCAGACCUGCAAAAAUGCUCAACCCUUCAUCAUAUCUGAGAGGGCACUCCCAACGAAGCCUUUCGAAAUAUUCAGCUUUCUUUCCCCCCGAUAAUACCUCUGCAAACAAGCUAUAUACUAGAGCAAGAAUAUCUCAUAUCAUCAGGGUUAAAAGCAAGAGUAUCCCAUAUCAUGCUUUUUCCCUGUCUUUUCUUUUGGCCUUGUUUUUACCUGCAAGACAAGGAGAAAGAGAGCAAUCAGUCAGCACUUGGAAUCAAGCUUCCAGCCAGGAACUGACUGCCUGGAACCCCUUACCUGAUUACUUACCUGGCAUUGCUCUCGAGUACUCAUCUUCAACAUCUUAUGUUUCCAGGGAAGAUUCCGCAUCUGCUUGAGGAACAGAUAGGGCAAGUGCGAAGGAUACAAGGAAGCAUGUGGAGACAAGCGUAACAGCACACGUGCCGAUACAUUCAUUACUCUGUCAAAAGCAAAAGUAUCCCAUAUCAGCAGGGUGGAACGUACUCUAGAUUUGAUGGACUUGUUUUGACCCUCAAAUUCUUCAGUCGGCCUUAUACUCUGGAGGAAACCAGAAAACCCUCCAGCUCAGUUCAAGAAUAAGCCUGUGGAAAGUUACUUCUUCAAAAGCAAAAGUAUCUCAUAUCAUCUCUUCUCAUUUUUCUUCUCUUUAUCCUUCAUGCUGCUGCAAGAUGGGGAUAAGGUGAACAAUCAGUCGGAGCUCUGAUUGCUUACCUUGUCUGUCACCUCUUUCAGCAGACCCCCUAGCUCGGCGACUUGGGGGACUCCUACUACAUGGUUUGUAUCGCGCUUGACCAAGCCUGAAACUACAAGUAAGCUUCAAGUGAAAUUGAUACAUUACCUUGUGCAUCUCCACCAGUUAAAGAUACCACCCCUGGAUGGAGGAAGAGUACUUCCAGAGAAGAUGCCACAUCUACCUAUGAGACAGAUAAGGCAAGUCAAGACGACACCACACUCCGAUACUUAGAAGUUUCGUGAUUACGAGAUCAUUCUCCCACAAAUAUUUCCUAAUGUCAUUUGUACUAAAUCAUUCACUUGUACUCACUAAAUGAGAGCUUGAACCUAUGUACUUGUGUAAACCCUUCACAAUUAAUGAGAACUCUUCUAUUCCGUGGACGUAGCCAAUCUGGGUGAACCACGUACAUCUUGUGUUUGCUUUCCUAUCUCUAUCCAUUUAUAUACUUAUCCACACUAAUGACCGGAGCAAUCUAGCGAAGCUCACAAAAAGCGAUCGUUUUCGCUACCUAGGAUCUAUCUUGCAAGAGAACGGAGAAUUAGAUGGAGAUCUCAACCAUAGAAUACGAGCUGGAUGGAAAGAGUGCAUCCGGCGUGUUGUGUGACCGUCGUAGGCCACUGAAGCUCAAGGGAAAAUUUUACAGGACGGCAAUAAGGCUAGCGAUGUUGUAUGGCACAGAAUGUUGGGUGGUGAAGCAUCAACACGUACACAAAAUGGGUGUAGCGGAGAUGAGGAUGCUUCGUGGGAUGUGUGGGCACACGAGAAAGGAUAAGAUUGGGAAUGAGGAUAUCCGAGGUAAAGUAGGAGUAGCCGAAAUUGUAGGAAAUAUGAGAGAAAAUCGGCUCCGGUGAUUUUGAACAUGUGCAAAGAAGGCCGACUGACGCUCCGGUUCGAAGAUGUGACUACGGGACAGAGGUUCAGGGCCGAAGGGGUAGAGGAAGACCUAGGACAACUUUGGAAGAGACUCUAAGAAAAGACUUAGAGUACUUGGAUCUAACGGAGGACAUGACACAAAACCGAGCGCAAUGGCGUUCUAGGAUUCAUAUAGCCG
rnacentral:lncRNA from 1 species